rnacentral:rRNA from 1 species
GACGAACGCUGGCGGCGUGCUUAACACAUGCAAGUCGAACGGAAAGGCUCUGCUUUUGUGGGGUGCUCGAGUGGCGAACGGGUGAGUAACACGUGAGUAACCUGCCCUUGACUUUGGGAUAACUUCAGGAAACUGGGGCUAAUACCGGACAUGAGCUCCUGCUGCAUGGUGGGGGAUGGAAAGUUUCGGCGGUUGGGGAUGGAAUCGCGGCUUAUCAGCUUGUUGGUGGGUUAGUGGCUUACCAAGGCGUUGACGGGUAGCCGGCCUGAGAGGGUGACCGGCCACAAUGGGACUGAGGUACGGCCCAUACUCCUACUGGGGGCAGCAGUGGAGAAUAUUGCACAAUGGGCGGAAGCCGUAUGCAGCAACGCCGCGUGCGGGAUGACGGCCGUCAGGUUGUAAACCUCUUUCGCCUGGGACGAAGCGUGAGUGACGGUAAUGGGUAAAGAAGCACCGGCUAACUACGUG